AGUGAACGCUGGCGGCAGGCCUAACACAUGCAAGUCGAACGGCAGCACAGGAGAGCUUGCUCUCUGGGUGACGAGUGGCGAACGGGUGAGUAAUGCAUCGGAACGUGCCCAGUCGUGGGGGAUAACGCAGCGAAAGCUGUGCUAAUACCGCAUACGAUCUAUGGAUGAAAGCGGGGGACCGUAAGGCCUCGCGCGAUUGGAGCGGCCGAUGUCAGAUUAGGUAGUUGGUGGGGUAAAGGCUCACCAAGCCAACGAUCUGUAGCUGGUCUGAGAGGACGACCAGCCACACUGGAACUGAGACACGGUCCAGACUCCUACGGGAGGCAGCAGUGGGGAAUUUUGGACAAUGGGCGCAAGCCUGAUCCAGCAAUGCCGCGUGCAGGAAGAAGGCCAUCGGGUUGUAAACUGCUUUUGUACGGAACGAAACGGCGAGCUCUAAUACAGUUUGCUAAUGACGGUACCGUAAGAAUAAGCACCGGCUAACUACGUGCCAGCAGCCGCCGCAGUAA
rnacentral:rRNA from 1 species